rnacentral:lncRNA from 1 species
ACGUACAAUCAUUCCUUAACACACACAGACAUUACUUAAAACUAGAUAAUCAUAAUCAUUCGUUAACAACAAUACUAAAAUAAGACACACAAGCAUUCCGUAACAAGCAUUCCUUAAAACCAAGCCAGACGACAAAGAACUUACGCAGUACCGUCUCCACCUCUGUUGCCAUCGCUGCCACCGCUUCCGUCACCGCCAGUGCCGUCUCCGGCGUCAUCACCACUACCACCGCUUCCAUCCUCUGACAUCAUCCACAGUAUCUCAUUAUCCACAUAUUCCAUGUCACACUUCA